GACGAACGCUGGCGGCGUGCUUAACACAUGCAAGUCGAGCGGAAAGGCUCCUUCGGGGGUACUCGAGCGGCGAACGGGUGAGUAACACGUGAGUAAUCUGCCCUGCGCUCUGGGAUAGCCACCGGAAACGGUGAUUAAUACCGGAUAUGACCGCUACACGCAUGUGUUGGUGGUGGAAAGUUUUUCGGCGCAGGAUGUGCUCGCGGCCUAUCAGCUUGUUGGUGAGGUAAUGGCUCACCAAGGCUUUGACGGGUAGCCGGCCUGAGAGGGGGACCGGUCACACGGGGACUGAGACAGGGCCCAGACUCCUACGGGAGGCAGCAGUGGGGAAUAUUGGACAAUGGGCGGAAGCCUGAUCCAGCAACGCCGCGUGAGGGAUGACGGCCUUCGGGUUGUAAACCUCUUUCAGUACCGACGAAGCGAAAGUGACGGUAGGUACAGAAGAAGGACCGGCCAACUACGUGCCAGCAGCCGCCGUAACAC
rnacentral:rRNA from 1 species